rnacentral:rRNA from 1 species
GGCUAGUACCUGGAUGGGAGACCGCCUGGGAAUCC